GAGGAGAGAGAAAGCCACCAGGUCCAAGACUCGAACCACAGUCAGCCAUAUGGGAGUCCAGCGCCUUUAACCACCAUGCCACCUGCUAGCCCAGCCCAUUUCCUUUUGACCUUUGUCCCUCUCCCACCCUCACGUCAGGCUCAUAUGAAAAUCAGGGCCGGGCUGUCCAAGGCCCUCACUUCCCUCCUAACUCCUGUGAGCUCCAGCGGCCCCACUCCAAGUGUGUCUUCUCCCUGCCUUCCUCCACCGUCGAGUGGCCUGCACCUCUUAGAGGCCCCGGCAGCCCUGCUUUUUCUGCCUUCUGGAGACACAGGUGUCCCUAGUGAGACCUCCCCGUCACGGGGAGGAACUGAGAGGACGAGGUAACGAGACGAUGGCUUUCGGCCUCCUACACCUCAGGAAUGUUAGUCUGCCUUUUCUGCAGAAAAUGUGGGAUUACUAUGGACUGUUUCUGUUGGGUUCCAUCUCCUGGCUCCCCGGCUCUAUCCCCAGCCCUCUCUGCACCCCGCAUCACAACCCCUCAGACACGCCCCUCUAGCCCGCACUGACCUCGCAGCCCCUGGUCUUCGCCUGCAGAUUCCCGUACACCCGUGAGAGCAAGUGCUCCGUAGCUCUGCGUUGGGUCCCUCGUGGCCUCACCCUGGCCCUUGCCCAGCACGACCCCAGUGCUGUUUGUCCUGUGGUGAUCACAUGAGCAGGUAUGCAGCCUCUGUUGCCGCGGAGCUGGUGCAAGUCAUUCCACCUCUUUCCAGCCAAGUGCCCUCCCCUCCUUUUAGGCCUAGCCUCAAGGUGUGUCCUGACUUCUCAGCUGGGCUGGGAGCACGUGAAGUGCAUUUCCUGUGCCUGAUUCCCGGGAGGCUGGAUGUAGCUGCCCUGAGCCCGGCAGCUCCCAGGAGGGAGCACUUCAGGACUCUGGGGAGGCAGGUCAGGAUUCUGGCAUCCUGGUGAGCCCAGGCCUGUAGCUCUGAGCGCAGGGACUAAGAGAUGCCCUUGGGGUGGUGGGAAGCCAGGCAGAGGCCAGGACGUGGAUGGGCUGGUGAACCACGCAGCCUGAAGUGGUCAAGCCCGGCAUGGGGUCUCCAAUGUCUUAGCAAAGUUGGUCCCUAGAAUAUCGGUGUGACCGAAGGAGGCAGGAGCUGCUCAUGGAUACGAAGGCCUGGCUUUGAGGACCCUUGGCUGGGAUAAGAAGUAACCUGGAAGAGACACUGGGUUCACACCCCAGGUGACCCUGGGAGGAUGGGGGGUCGGGGAUGGAUCAAAACCCUCAGCCUGGUACCAGCUGGAAACUAGGGGGCCCAGGAGUUAACGAGGUUUCUGACCACCGAGAGUUUUGGCUCAAGAAGUGCUGAGGUCCGGUGUCCUGGCCAGAAGGAAAGUGAAAGUGAGAUGGAGGGUGGGGGCAGCACUUUCCCAGAAGGAUCCCUGAUCCUGCUCUUCCCAGAACCAGCUCGGGAUGUGGAGAUGACAGCGCCUCAGUGACAGCUGGGCAGAUGGACAAGGCAGUCACUAGCAGUGCCUGGCAGCCCCCGAUGUUCCAGGGAAGAGAGCCCCGGGAUCUGGCACGAAGUACAUGUACGUGAAAAUGUGGGACUUUACUCCUCCCCUUCCCGAAAAGGAGGAAGUUGUCCAGUACAUAGAGCCCGGCCCGCCAGUUCCUGACACAUGUCACGACCAUGAGGCAGAACCCGACACUAGCCCCUCAUCUCUGG